GCCUCAGUAGCUCUAGAAGGAUAGAGACCGUAAAACAAAUUGUAGCUGGCGGGUCGCAAAGCAGUCAGUGAAAUUCCGUAGGGAAGUUACGAAAGGAGUGCGGGUUUGAAUCCCGUCUGAGGCU
rnacentral:tRNA from 1 species